CAUUAGAUGACUGAAAGUAAGUACUGGUCUCUUAAACCAUUUUAUAGUAGAUUAACUCCUACUUCUAAUGG
rnacentral:tRNA from 1 species